rnacentral:rRNA from 1 species
AUUGAACGCUGGCGGCAUGCCUUACACAUGCAAGUCGAACGGCAGCACGGGUGCUUGCACCUGGUGGCGAGUGGCGAACGGGUGAGUAAUACAUCGGAACGUACCUUAUCGUGGGGGAUAACGCAGCGAAAGCUGUGCUAAUACCGCAUACGCCCUGAGGGGGAAAGCGGGGGAUCGAAAGACCUCGCGCGAUUAGAGCGGCCGAUGCCUGAUUAGCUUGUUGGUGGGGUAAAAGCCCACCAAGGCGACGAUCAGUAGCUGGUCUGAGAGGACGAUCAGCCAGACUGGGACUUGGACACGGCCCAGACUCCUACGGGAGGCAGCAGUGGGGAAUUUUGGACAAUGGGGGCAACCCUGAUCCAGCAAUGCCGCGUGAGUGAAGAAGGCCUUCGGGUUGUAAAGCUCUUUUGUCAGGGAAGAAACACCGGCUCUAACACAGUCCGGGAAUGACGGUACCUGAAGAAUAAGCACCGGCUAACUACGUGCCAGCCGCCGCCGCGG